rfam:Trachymyrmex cornetzi contig17016, whole genome shotgun sequence.
CAAUCGGCCCUUCUCAGGGCCACACGCACACCUUGUAUAAUACCG